CACACGCACGCACGCGCGUAUGUAAAUAUUUUUAUUAAUUUUAUUGUACAAUAGUUUAAAGUUAUACACAUUAAUCAAAUUUAAUCAAUUAAUUCGAGAGAUGUGCAAUUAAAACAGAAGAGAUUGGAAUAACUCCGUAGUACUGAAAUCAUUUAAAAUCAAAAUAGGCUGUAAUAUUAAAGGAGGUAAUAUUGAAAAGUGACGAGAAAACAAAUAAGGGCGGUGCUAAGUCGAAGUAAAAGUCACUUGACACAUAACAUAACUAGAAGUGACAGCCGCUACAUGUAGAACAGGAAUCGUCGAGAAACUGACACCGAAUAGAUUAUGGACCUCAUCUCUGUCGGUUAAGGGUUCAGGUGCAAGUUUCUUGCGUUGGGAAUAAUGAAUUAUCGUCACUCGUCUCAUUGGCCGAAUUUAUCAUGAUAUCUUGGAGUAUUAACAUGCUAUUUUCGACAUGCGUUCGUUACGAAUACAUUUUGUUAAUGAAUUAUCAUUAUCGACGUGAUUGUUUUUCUCUCUAAAAUUUUUUCCUCUGCACGUUAUAUGCGUACGAGAGGAAAUCUUAUGUACACAUAGAAUAGAAGAAAUUGUCAAUAACGAGAUUGUUCUGUCUUCGUUUUUUGCAGAUAUAUUAUCAAAUGUUUGUUUUUGAAAUAUUACUUAAGAAAUCCUAUUUAAAAAAAUAUAUUUAAAACAAAUCGUGUAGUUGCGUUCCUAGUCAAUGAAAUAAAAUAUUCAAAUGACAGCCACUUUAUAUUCGACAAAAAUUGCACACCAUCUAUGUAUGCUGGCUCGAUAAUGAUGAGUUUCGUUAAUGAGAGCUUUAAGCCACUUGGACAAGUAAGGAAGUGUAAUUGAAUAACAUAUCGAUAAAUUAUGUUUGUGUAAGAAAGAAUGUAAUUGGUCGGUGUUGAUAAGCGGAAAAGCUGAGAUCGAUCGUAAUAAAAGAAAGGGCAACGAACUAUCGUGCGAGCACAAGUAUCCUGCGGUGCGACGUUGUCCGAUCGAAUCGCCGAGUAAGAUUGAUGGUUUCUUAAUAACCGAGAAAAACCGGCAAAACGAUUCGUCCACCGCGACACUGCGGGUGGUCAACAGUGAGCAUUACACCUGGACGAUGUAGUUUUUCUUCAUGGUUUAUUCUUCCUUGCACCUUCUCCUCCUCGAAAUUUCUCAGGUUUUUUGCAUCCAAUAUCAAAAAUAUAAAUUUCCAGUGCGAGAUGCGAUCAAUUUUUGAAUGAUGGAAUCGACUUUGUUACUAAUUUAUGUCAGCAGAUUGCACGAGUAGAGAUAUUAAUCGUUUUAUUUGAUUUCAUUCAAUAACCAUGAAUCACUUGCAAAGGGUGCAAUUACGACUGCCGUGAGUAAACUAAUAAAUGAUCUAGCGUAACGUUCUGCGGACGGCACGCGCAAUCGUCGAUCUCCUUUUUCUGCGCUGUGAGGGAGCUAAAGUAAUAAGAGAAACAAAAUCGGAUUUCGGCGUCGAAGCCGCCUACGUCGAUGAGCCGAGUGGAACGGGUGAGAGAGUGAAGUCAGUUUGGUUCUUGUCACAUUCUUGUCAAGCAGAACAGCAUGCCACGUCAAUCUCCUCGCUACGUUCUGCCAAGAUGCCCCCCCCCCUCUCUCUCUCUCUAUAUCUCUGUCCUAAGUAUCGGCAUGGCUCCGGAUACCUGUGCCGAUUGACCAUGAAGAAUCGAAAGAGAUGAAUGGACGGAUCGAUAGAUGGACAAGUGUUUGAUACAGCAGAGAAAUGUAACCGGCGCUUCAUGACGCAGCCAAACUGCCUCAUUAGCUCAGUUUAUCCGCAAAAAAUGCAAGUGCUGGAAUCCAUUUUAAGAGCUAUCUGCCAAAUAGCCGUCACAUUAUCUCUUAGUCUUUCGAUCUUUCUUAAACCCGUAUUUUUUUCACACUAAACGGUCUAACAACUCACAAACUUAGUGUAAUGAUAUUUUUACUUUUACUGAAUUUCCUAUUAAUUUAGAAUUGUGAUAUUGUAUUGCAGAUUUGAAAUUGAGACUUUUAACCGGAAGAAAAGAAUUUAUACGACAUAAAGAAACUAGUACUUUAAUAUCUUUGUAUGUGUUGUUUGUGUGUGCCGUUGAAGAAGCACAGAAAGUUUACUUUGUUCUAAAAAACGUUUUGUGGAUAACGUAUCUAAACUAAUCUAGAAUGUAUGUACAAAUUACAAAUACGAAACGUAGCUUCUAUACAAUCACGCUACCAAGACACGCGUUAUCGCAGAUAUUGUUAUAUCUUGAGUUUAUAUCUUAUGAUGCACAUCAGAUAAUUUCGAAGAAAUAAUGCAGUCGUUACUGGUAGUGACAGUGGCAAUCUACGAAUUGAAUUUAAGCCCUCGAAGAGAAUGGAAGGAGAGCAUAGUCGACCAAAAAAUACAGCGGCGACGAGGCCCAAUUCAUCGCGACAGCUCGUGCCAUCGAUCAAUCCACCUUGGUAAACACAGAGGAUGGUAUAAAACGAAGGAAGGCGGAGGGGGAGGCAAGCAAAAGAGAGACUAUACAGAAAAGAUAGCCGCGCGCAACGUUGUACUCGGUGAGACAUUAAUUGACACGAAUGAAGGUAGGGAAAGAAAGAGCGAGCGAUCUCUCGUCUACCGGAACGAGGAAGGUGCACACGUUACAGGGGGACAUGUAGACCCCGCGGCACACAAGUGGGAGUGCUCGAGAUGGGAACGAGAAUUGAAACGAGUGGUGGCAUCCCAGUUCAUCCGAUCGUGCCGUCGCGCCGCCGCAUCGUCGAGCUGCAACAACGGCAGCAACAGAAACGACAACGAGAAGGACCGCGACGAGAAGGAGAAUGAGAAUGAAGGAUGAGCCGACGUGUCCACGUAGGCGGAGCUCCUGGCUUUGUGAAUCGGUUUCGCCGCCCUCGUCGCAUUGGCUGCCAUCGCAUAGACUUCUGUUCCCGACUCUCGCGACCGAUCGGCUCCCGUCACCCACGUGAUCGGCCGAUUGUUUCCCGUCUCGACUCCGGCGCUCUCUUCGUUUCCUUCUCGUUGCAAUACGAUCGGUUCUUCCUUUUUCGUUGCGGUUCCUUUUCCUAUAUCCGCCAUACCUGGUUUUCUUUCUAUUCUCUUCGUCGCGAUAUCGCACACUUGUGGCAAACUAAGAUUUAUGCGUGCCACCAGUUGAGACGUUUGUGCGAAGAGAUUGAAUGUGAUACUGAACAGGGUUACCGUGCCAGUGUGCACAGGACGUGAUCUCUAGCAGAUAUCACUUUGAAAUAUUUUAGUCUCUUGCUGUCAGGUUUGUAGACAUCACGCGUGUCUAUAAUGAGUCGACAUCACGCACCAACUCAUUCGUGUCGAUUAAUCAUGCGCAUUUCUUUUGCUAAGGUUACGGUAAAUUAUAACAAAAUGUUUUUUAAUUUUUUUUAAAAUCUCAUAAAAUGUAAACUGUUAGUUUUAAUUUUCAAAAGAUCAUCAUGCACAUUGAAUUUAAUGUGAUGCAAAUAAUUAUAUUGUAAAAACUUUAUACAAACUUAAUGAUAACUUGUUUCUUCUCAUCUUAUUUAUAUUUCGAUGAAUGUCUACUGAAAAAGAUGUAGAAAGAUAGGUAUACAAAAAAACGCGAUGUAUAUUUAUAAACUAUCUCCAGCGAGUAUUAUGUUAACAAUAUUCAUACAAUUAGCUUUAUGAAAUAACACAUUGUCUUUGAUUUAAUCUUGAGUAUACUAAAACCAUUCGAUAAUAUAGCAACGAUGAAACUGUCAAAUUGAAUAUGUUAACAACGAUGAUCUGAUCGUGUCUCGUAGUUAGGAUGACUUUCUAAACUGGCUGGCUUUUAUGGGUUCCUUAAUUUUCAUAGUCCUUGAUGCAAAUCCUUGAUGCAAAAGUAAACCAUUUCUCUCACGAAUAAAAUAUGCUGUGUUUUAUACAUUAACCGUAAAAUUUCUGUCUACUAUCUCUGUGCAGUUUGUAAAGCUGGCUACAAAAUCAGUGGUUCCAUUGUUGAUUAUGCUAAAUGAAUGGUAUGCUCGUAAUAUCGAUGGCAAUAUUAAUCCGCGAUUCCUUUUAAUUUUCUCAAGCAGGGUCCGUCACCGCCAAUCAAUAUGCUAACGAGCGAUUUCAUGUUGCAGCGCGAACAAAAUAAAAACUAAGGUAGUGAAAUCGAGCGAAAUGCCUAGAGGCAGAAAAGAAAGGACAAAGAGAGAACGGCAGACGCGAUCAGUAAUCGAAGCAAUCGUCGUCGGCGAAGAGUUGCCGCUAGGCGAUUCUACCUUCCACCUUCCUUCUGAGUACCUCUUUUGAAUGUACGCCGGCCAAUUAAAAUAAUUAGCGACGAAACGAACGAGAGCAAGUUUAGUACACGAUUAUUGAUACAGAUAAAGGGCGCGCGCGCGCAAGAGAGAGAGAGAGAGAGAGAGAGAGAGAGAGAGAGAGAGAGAGAGAGAGAUGCGAGCGAUGGACGAUGGGCGAUGGGAACAAAACGGCGAAACGCGAGGAUGCGUUAUUUACGAUGGACUUGAUUUAAUAACGUCUAUCAUGGAUGGCUCGUGGCUGCAAUCGAACGUGAAUCUGCUGACGUAAAAAUUUGAAACAACUCAGAAGGUUGUAACAUGGAUUUAAAGUAACUCGAGUUGCUAAAAUAUGACUAGUUUCUUUACACUUCAAAGCUCUCUCUCUCUCUCUCUCUCUCUCUCUCUCUCUCUCUCUCUCUCUCUCUCUCUCUCUCUCUCUCUCUCUCUCUUUCUUUCUCUCUUUCUCACAACCCUAUUAAGCAUUUGAAGUUUUAAUGACAUUUUAAUUUUUGCGAGCGUAUCGCGACAUACAAAAAGCAGAUGCUUUAAUCAUUUUAUAUUGCUUUGUUCAAAUUUUAUCUGUUUAUGAGAAGAGCGUUAUUUAUGAUGAAUUUAAUAAAUGUAAAAGUAACCUUUUGUGCGAUCAGUGCGAAAAAAGAAACAUUGAAAUAUACGACGUGUUUUUGCAAUGUGCAGUUUGUUUAAUUGCUAUAUUAAAUAUUGUGGAUCGCGGAAUCGCAAUCCAGAUAAUGGCGUACCGAUUAAAUUCAAUGUAGCAACGGCUAGUGGGGCGUCUACUUCAAUUACUUUUUGUGCUUUAUCGAACUUUAAUCUUUUAUAGCAAAACGUUAUUUACGACGGGCUUGAUUUAAUAACGAUUCAGGCAACGUCUCUCGCGUUGCUCACGGCCAGCACAAAAAUAAAGAGAAUCGCCGUCCGACGGAAACUCCGGAAACAAUCGUACACAACACAACGUACACAAUAGCCCGCGGCAUCGUUUAAUUUCCCAACUGGACUUUUCUGACGCGAGAGCGUCGGGAUUAAAUCCGACAUAAACACAUGAGAAAGGCACUUGUUUUAAUUAUUAUCCCGAUUUAAUGGAUUUUCGAAGGUUCCAUAAUCGAUUAAAAAAAAACUUGCACUGUAAUGUAACUGUCUGAAGAGGUACAAAAGGUUAAUGAUAGUCAAUGUCACAAAUAGUCCCUGGCGGAGUUCGAUUUCAAGACAUUAAGAAAUUGAAAUGGCAAAACUGCGGGAAGCUCUUCUCUCGGAGAGUGUCGAAAUAAAACGAGUGUAUGAGGGAGCCCAAAAUUUGCUUUUAAAUUUUGUUUUUCUUUUUUUAAUUCUUGUUAAUUCAUCUCAAGUCCGAGUCUUAUCAAAGAGAAAAUUUCGAUCAAUCCAAUGGCUAAAAAUCCUUCUCGCGCGCAUUGAUUCCCAUAAAAGAUGGCCCGACUGUCUCGUAAAUUUCGACAAGGCGAGGACUCGCGUAGUCUGUUACUACUUUGGCAGGCUCUGCACUGCCCUUACACGUUCGCAGUCAGCACUGCACAAAACCCCGACGCUAUUACAUUUCGACUGAGAGCCCGGCGGAAGACUGUAAUCGAUUACGCGGAGCCCGCGUUUCUACUUUCGACUUUAUUUAACGCGUUACGUAACCUCAACAAUGCCACUUAGACGUAGUAUACUUUCGUCGUAUACUCGAGGAGCAAAAGACAUUCCUAUAAUUAUCAAUUUUUUUCAACUUUGCAAGUUUUUACUUAUUUCUUUAUAUAUGAAAAAAAAUUGUUUGAAACGACCUUUGAAUUUUAAAUAUGUGUGUGACAUUCGAAUAUGUACGAAUUAAGUUCUUGAAUCGUAAUAAAAUUUUACGACAACGCGAGAAACACUAGAUAGUCGUAACGUGAGACGUUUCCAGGAUUAAGAGAAAUACUGGACUGGGACUAGAUUAGAGCGAAGCUGACAGGUAAAGCCGCCAGAAUCCGACGACGUCGUUCGUAGCGUCGUUGUCGUCAACGCCGCGCCCCGUCGACGUUGUCUUGGUCGUUGUCGCUUACUCGAGCGAGUGCUUAUAGGCAUUGUUCCAUUGAAGGACCGCUGCCGCUCUAUGGCGAACCUGACUCGCGUUCGGAACCACCGGGGCGGCGUUUCAUUUAUUCAAAGUAAGUUAUUGCGAUCGGCUCGGCCACUAUAUUACCGGGCGAAGACUCCUCUCCUCCUUCAGCCAUUUCUCUUUCAUCGUUUCCGUCUCCUUCUUGUCUGCGUUACCUUCCUCCUCUCCGUUAAGAGUCGGACUCCCGUUCUCGAUUUCCAGGUAAGAUAUUCAUCUAAUUCCACCUCUCCCUCCCUCACCCUCCCGCCCUUUUGCCCGAUUAGUGGACGACCGAAUGGCAAUCCGGAGUGCCUAUAUAAGCUCUUCAACCGUUUGGACAGCAGCCACAAACUUCUCGGUGACCAAACGAUCCGUUAUAAUGUUCACUCAUGCCAAGGAGCGAUCUCUGUCUUGAAACGAAAUGCUAGAAGCGCAGGAUAGACAUCCAGCGCUUAAUAUCAAUUAUAUCGCGUACGACUAUUUGUUACUUACUCGCAGCUACGUAUGAUUUUGCGUUUAUCACGAGAUGCAGGGAGUUUGAAUCUCGAUAAAUUAUAAUUGUUUUUUCAAAAGAAAGAAUUUGAUAGAGAGCAAAUGCCUAUUAUACGAUAAGUUAUAACGUGUUGAUUAGGAAUGGCGGGGAACUAUUAAUCAGAGAAGAUUCGUUGUAGAACGAUAUUCUUGAAUGCGACUUCGUAACAGGAAGGAAAGAGCAUUCAAUUGACACUUGACUGAUUCGCGAGCCACUAAUUCUAGAGAUUCAUAGUACGAACGAAUCGAAUCGCUAGCGAGCGUGCUACGUGAAUUCUGGAUACGCAAACCCGCGAAUCUGCUUGUUCGGUAUGCCGGUGCGCGCGACGGGGAAGAACCCUUGGGAAAUUUCUUGACAACGGCUGUGCGGGCCGCGCAACGUGGGAACAAUUUGCAAGCCCGUGGCGGUUCGUAACAUUCCUAAGCUCAACGGUAAACGGUUAUUCGGGACGCGUCCUCGUACGUUCGUACGUGCAUGUGCGGUCUGUAUGCGCUUUUGUCCCGUGACGCCAAAGACGCCAAAGAAUUUCGGAAUUCGUUGCUGAGUUCCGCGCCUCUUCUUUCGAGCCUUUGACGGCUGCGCCCGCGUCCAUCAUUCAUUUUCCUUUUUCUAAACUAUGAGUCGUUGACUUCUCAUCAUUGUAUUAUUGUGCCGGCUGUGAAAUGCUCUGCUUAUCCAAAAUUCUUUCAAAUUGCAUAGGAAUGAGUAUGAAAUUUAAUAAUAGAAGAUAACUGUGAUUGUCUAUCAGCAACGCUGAUGACGAUUUCUAACGAUUACCUGUCAAGGUCUCGCGCGUAAACCUCUGUUCCGCAUUCUCUUUCAUAAAUUCGAAAACAUUAUUGAGAAAAGGAAAGAGCAACUAAGACGUCGCUGCCAGAAAGAGGAGGACUGUAAAUGUCGACGCGGGUGACAUGCGUAUUUCGAGCACGCGGCAACGAAAUCCCGUCGGUUCUAUUUGUGGGGCGCCACGGUGAUGUUUCACAUUGACGUUCCGACGAGCCUCCUUCGGGCUUCGUCUUCGCACGGUGAAUCUUCAUCGUCGGAAAACUUGAGCCGCCGCGCCGCCGCGUCUUGUGCCUAACACGAUCUUCUCUUCGUGAACAUGUCGUCGACAUGUUAUUUUAUUGGAAUGUGCGUGCAUAUAUAAUUCCCUCGUUUCCAAAUUCAUAAUACAUCUUUUAUGAGAAAAGGCAGGAUAAACUUGAAGCAGAUGCUGCGAUCUUUUUCGCCUUUUAUGUCCUCUUCGUUCUCAUAGAGAAAGAAAGAAAGGGAAAGAACGUGUAAAGGUCGGUAAAAGGGAGGUGAGUGGAGUGCCGUGAGUGUAAGUAACGAGUUCAGAAUUUCAUUAGCAGACGGGCGGUGAGAUUAUUUUAAAGAGAUACGGAAUUACCUGAUUAGGAGGGAAAAAGUCAUUAACUCAGGCGAAACUAAUUAACGCUAGGCUCGAGAACGGUUCCUCUUCUCUUCGUGAAUUCAUUCUUAACUUACCACAGCCGCAAAUUUUUUUCGCAUCUGCUGUUUCUUUUUUUUUCUCUCUCUGAUUUUACUCUCGCAGUCACUGUGCAAUCAUUAGUGAAGAAAAAUUAUUCAUCUUUUUGUAAUAUAAUAUGUUAAAAAUUAUUUCUCUCUUUAAUACUUUGCAUAAAAAUUGCAUUUGUUAGAUCAAGAUCAUUAUUACGUCUGCUGUAAUAUAAUAAGAAGUAUUAUUAUAAAAAAUUCUCCCAAGUCUGGAAAAAAAUUUAUUUUAUAGUUACAUUUAUAAUGUACAGUUUAGAUUUAAUUUUUUAAUGCUAUAUAACAAAAGAAAGAACGUUCAAUGAAUUACAAUUAGGCCUUCUAUUCUACAGGAAUAUGCGAAAUGGGAUAGUCGAAGAGUAGUGAGCCAAAGUAUCGGAAAUAUGGUAGCAGAGAAAUCUUGCAAGCGCAAAAUAAAGAGAUAAGUGUAAACAAUAAGUCUCGCAAAGAGUUGAGCCAGACUAAUCUCGUUAUGGUUAUGAAUCGCCGGGCUCAGAAUAAUGCUGCUACUUAGGUGCACCGUCUGAGUUAAUUUUAUUCGCAUGGUGAAACUUCAAACAUUUAUUUAUCCAUACAUUUUCAAUAUACGAUGUCUCAAUCGAUACAUCUAAUUAUAUCAUUUAUAUGGUAUGGAAAAUACAGAAGUGUUUUAUAAUUACUAGAAUAAUCCGAUUAUAAUUAAAGAAACAUCUGAUAAAACUUCUGAUAAAACAAACAGAAUUUUAAUUUUUGUACAGAUAAACACCUUUGAAGAUUUGAGUAAUUUGUUUUAUUUUAAAUUAUAAAGAUUAGAAAAUCUUCUAGGAUUAGAAGAUUGUAAUAAAAAUUUAUAUAAAGAUAAUACAAACAUUCGAAGAUAGUGUCUUUAUAAUUGUGUAUAACAAUAACAAGUGCAAAUAUUUUUUUUGAAAAUAUGUAUAGAAAGGGAAAAGUUAUUUAAUCGACUAAUGACUUUUAUGUUGUCAAGAUUAUCACAAACAAGAUAUAGUUAUGCGAUUUUAUCAUUUUACAUAUACUUUUUUGCACACCUUGAGCUGUUGCUGAGCGUUUAAACUGUAUUUCAGUACUUGAUUAGUAUGAGAAAAAACAUGUCAAUUUAUGGCUGCAAUAAAAAUUAAUAAUUUGUAUAUUUAUUCGCGAUAAUAUAAGCAGGAUACUAUAUCUUUGCAUUAAAGUGUAAAGUAAUUUCUGUAAUGAAUCUUCAUAAAUGACGGAAAUGAUAUUGUUGCGCAUCGCUAUAUAUAUCGUAUAGAUUAGAAAAGGGCUCGCGUUAGUAUUGUCAUUACUUUUUGUCGGCAAUAUUGUAAUUAUCGUGUCAUAGUGUAAAGUGAAUUUGCACAUGACGCUUAUUGUGUGGAGACAUAAUAAAAGAUAUGCGCGAGACAUGUUUUUCGCAUAGCUUUGUUACGUAAGAAAAGAACUAUUUUUUAACGCACAAUUAUUGCGCAAAUAAUUUAUCGCAGCUCAAGUAUUCGAUAUAGGGCGAUGUUUCGCUGAUACCAUGUAGCAACGUCCGUGCUGUGUACCACCAUAACAGAGAAAUAUGUAAUGCGUAUGUAUAUAAAGGGCAUUAUUUUUGCGUUUGUGCUUUCUAACAUAAUGCGCUCUUUCGCCUCGCGAGAACUCAUCGCACCUUCCGUAAGUAAUAUCCGAAUGGAAUAAAAUUGUAGCGCUUUGCGCCAUGUGUCGAGAGCCAGGUAUUCGCCACAGAUCAUCCCUUCAGGGUUCUUCGUUAAGCGAGGAAAUUUUAAGGUUGCCGCAUAAAACUGCGACUAAAGCCGACGACAAAAAUCCUCGAGUUAUGGGGCCGAGCACACCGUUUUACCGUGCAAGCAUGCAGGUCGUUUCGUCUUCCAUAGAAAAGUAGCAGAGAGGCGCGAAGGCUAUUUCUUCCCCCUCUUUCUCUCUCUCUCUCUCUCUCUCUCCCUUCCUCCUUCUCCCGCCUUGACUAUCCAAGCUUUAUCCUCUCUCCCGCGCUCGUAUCUGCACCCUCACUUCCCGCUCUUGAGUCGCUCCCUUUCUUCCCCGUAUGCAAUUCCCAUGCAUAUCUGCGCGUUUCUUUACGAGGAACAUCUUUUUUCUCCUGUCGUCGUCAUCGUCUUUCUGGAUAUUCAGCGAGAAUAUGCGGUUGGCAAGAGGUAGCAUCCCGUUUUCGAGGAUCAAGGGUGGCGCACCCUUAAUCGAAAACUAAGCGUCAUACAAAAGAAAGCAUUUUACGCACAGAAUUGACUUAUUGGUCGCUGAUGCAUAUGGUGCACGCGGGAACAUUAAUCUAUAUCGCGUCGGCGAUAAUUAAAUUUAUUCCGUUUCAAUUAUAAUAUUACUGACGGACGAUGUAGACAGCCGGUGUGCAGCACGUGUUUAAUUGCAGAUGCCAUCAAAUCAUGAAUUACGAAUUCUCGAUUUUUCGAUGUUCGUUCAACGAUGGUAGAUGUUUCUUUUUCCGCGGUGCGCGGCGGCUCGCUCCAUCACGCGCUUUCGAUAUUUAUGCAACGUCGCACCGACGUAACGAUGAUCGAGCCUCACUCAGCGUUAUGCACCAAUGAACUCGAGAAUGCAACUUCAUCCGGAUCGCCCAACGGGCAUUCUCCGGGCCGGUCAUUCCGAACCGGUUUCGGUUUGCAAUAUAAGUUACGGCGAGAGAAACAGACGGCCGAUAAGCUGAUAAACAAAUCUUCCGCUACCGCUCGAGCGAUUAUUCUUUGCACGACGCGAUCGCCUCGCGAUCGUUACGUCGGCAAACGGCUUUUUAAUCGAGGCAAUUUGUCGCGAGUCGUGUGUCGUUUAAUUAAUAAAAACGUUGAUUUGCUGAAAAUUACUCGUUUCGAAAAUAUUACGGGGCAUGCGAGUCCCCUUAAAUGAACUCUAUUAAAAUUAACGAUCUUAUCAAGGUGUCGCUUAUUAAAACGUUAAACCGCGCGCGGCGUGUUCCCGCCGGGAAUUGAUUAAAAACGAUGUAAACGGUCGUGCCGCAUACUUGCUAUCUGGUAGCGUUCGUUAAGAAAUACCUCGAAACGCAUUCUCCUUGCGAGAGCUAAUGCCGGUCGAUCCAUCUUGUCGCGGCUCUAAUAACCCUUGAUUUAACGAAUAACGAUUAAUUUUAUUCUUAUGUCCGAACAUGUUUUACAAAUUUGGUCUACCGUCUGUUAAUAUACAUGACGCCAAUUGUUACAGAUAAAUAAAGAUUGCAAAAGUGCAUUUGUCGGAAUAAAGUUUGUUUAAACUUGAAAUAGAUUUUACGUAUUUGAAGGUUCGGAUAGACAAAUGACAAAUGAGAAAAUAAGAGUGGAUAAAAUUUCCCCGCAAUCAACACAGAGAAUUAAUCGUUGACGACAAUUUUUUAAAUUUUAUUUUAACUCGAUUAGUGUACAGGUCACGUAUAGAAAGUUUUGCAGAGAAACAAGGCAUAAAAUGUGACAGAGGUUUGGAUCUACGGCAAGAGAGCUGAUUUCGCUGCUUAUACAUAAACGCUUGAUUCUAUACGAUUUGCAGCAAGCGAGGGGUCGAACGUUCAAACGUCGUGUACGUCAGGCGCAACCUGAACACGAUGCGAGUUUACGCCGCGGAGACGUGCAACGUUGGCUCGUAUAUCGCUGCGCGCUGGGUCGCUACCGCGCGCAUGUAACAGGAAACUUACCUUAACCUCGUCACCUUGCCACACUUAUUUCAAACUGGUGGCCAUAUUUCCAUAUGCAGCAUAGUCCGCGCAAUGGGCGAUUUUCGAGAGCGUGGUACGGCCAGAUCGAGCGGAUGAGGCGGCGCGUGACGAGCUAGACGUCGACGUCGCGUCGGCGGCGUCGCAACCGCGUGAGAGCGAGCCUAGAGAUACAUAGAAGCCGCUGUCACUGUCAACGCCUAAUGAACGAUAUAUAUAAGCCAGGGAAACCCUGCUAAGAAUCCAAGAUGGCUACCAGCGUCCCGAAGGAUCGCGAGGGAAUCCUGUGAUUACAUUCCUGGCUCACCCGCUCCCUCUCUCGCACCCGCGCCACCGGCACGUUUCGGAAGUCCCGUUACCGUCGCUCGCCCUCGCCCUCGCCCUUGCCUUCGCCUUCACCCUCGCCACUCCGCCACUCCGCCACUCCGCCGCACCGACGGUACCUUAUUUCAGGAGCCUUCCGGCGUGUCCUGGAUAGUUUUAGAACAUCUUCCUGACGUACAAAAGUCUUGUCAUUUGAGCGGAAAUUGUAACGCCGUUGUCGCAGCAAUCGUGCUCCACGAUUAUGCGCGCUGCGUGGCGUCUUGUUAUUCCCGCACAACUAAAACCGACAUGUCGUUCGUCAAUUUUCUUCUACUUAAUUUGGCAGUUGAUCAGGAUUGUUUCUAUUUCACGCUAACAGAUUAAACGUACCAGCGUACAAAGAUAAUUUUAGUUAGCACACGGAUAAUGUGACGGAAAUGUUUCGAGCGCGAUAAAAUCCGACAUUUCUGGCAGGAUUCAGACGUCAAAUUUUCAAAAGCUUUCAUGACAACGGCAAUUGCAACGCAAAACAGGUCAUUGAUAAAAGAUUGUGACAAUACGCGCGACUGUAAACUAUCGAGAUCAUCUAUCGACAUCACAACGAUGUUAUGAUCAUUUGUACAUUUCCGUUUUGUAUUAUACACAAAAUCGGAAUAUGGAGUACAGAAUAAUUUAUCUGCUUGCAUUUGCUCAACUCAUGAUAGUGAUUGCGAAUUGUUCUUAAUUUUGAAACAAUUCACAGUUGAUCGUAUUAUUUACAUAAAAUUUUUAAAACAAUGAAAUUAUAAUUCAACAAGCUGACAAAUUAUUACUACUAUUUCUCUGUUAGUAUCUAUCUGGCUUUCAUUUAUGUGUAAAUUGCAUUUUACUCAAUACCUAAAAAAUAUCUCGAAUAUUCCAAUGCCACAUUUUGAAGCUUGGCGCGCGUGCGCGCGCGCAUGUGUGUGUGUGUGUGUGUGUUUGUAAUCGAUUACUGAUUUCGGGUCAUCGCCGAUGGCGAGCGGCAGCAGCUGCUUUUAUGGCGUGGAAAAACGAAACGAACGCUCGUGAGUAAUCGCGCUCAAUAACCAGCGUUGUCUUUUUUAAUUAAACCUCGUUAUGAUCAAUUUGCUGUACAAUGCCAGGUACCAGCCAUCGAAUAUCCAUCCUCGCGAUAGAGAAUCGUCGCUACUCAUGAUUAGUUGGCUGACACAAGAGCGAGAGAAGCGCAGUGGUUUUUAAUCGAGAAUAUCGCUCCAACAGCAAAAAAAAUUGUACUUGCAUCAAUGCGAUUGUUAUAUGUUGGCGCGCAACUCUGUUUCCUGAAAACAUACACAGUUUGACAACGCGAAUUUUUAUUUCUGUUUUAUUUGUCGAUUCUCAGUCACGAUCAUACUGCUACUAUCCAAAGAAUUCUCCAGUGCUUUCAUCACGUCAGCUUUUUAGCCAUGUUUCUUUUAUUUCUAAUAUAAGCCCGAACAACACAACAUCAAACAGCGAUAAAAUAAAAUAUAAGAAAAAAAUCUCGUUUGUGCCCGUACGAUUUACGCAAUACUAAUUAUGUGCGUGUGGUAGGAGAAAACACAAAGGGAAAUAAUAGCACUGUCGAUCACGCUAAUGACCGAAGCAAAGGCGAAGAUGAGUGAUGAAUGGAGGGGGCAGUGAUGUGUGUGUGUGUGUGUGUGUGUGUGUGUGUGUGUGUGUGCGCGCGUAUAUGCGUAUGUAUUGUACUAUAAUAGCACCCAGCGCGAUAAGAGCGACGUUAAGUUACAACGAUAAAAAUAACUGUAAAGUUCCUGCCGCCGUUCAUUUUCUUGAUACGGUGAGAGUAAUCUAAAGAACUUGGAAUGUGGUAACUAAGUGGCAGCUCCGUUGUAACGUAUUAACAAAUACUGCGACAGGCAGAUAGACGCACUGUGUCUUAUCAAUAAGUCAAGGUAUUCCGAGAGACUUGCAAAAUGGAAAAAAAAUUACACAAAUUCAACGCGAGUAAUAAACGUAAUCGCAACGAAAUACAAAAGUAUAGAUAAAUUUAACGCUGUUCCCUCCAAGGAUUACAUCGUACGUACGUCAUCAUACCACGUAUUGCGCUAAAUAAUUCUAUUGUAUUGUCCUCGAAAUAAGUUCUUAAAACUUCAUAGUAUCCAAAUUUGGAUUGCAACAAUUUAUACGUUUGAUCACAAAUAAGACGGUAAGUUCGUUUUAGUAUAUAGAGUUUUCACGUAUUUGAAAAAUGUAAAACAUUACUCAAAAAGUUAAUUGGUGAAGAUAAAAUCAAAAUUUGUAAAUAAAUUCUAACGUAACAAUUAUGAUAAAUAGUGGCACAUAUAAAUCUAAGUAUAAAAUAAAUUUUAUCACGAUUGUUUAAGCGCGAGUACGAUAUUUCUGUUAUGUGAGUUUUUGGCGCGGAUAUAUCUUUGCAAUAUAACUCCGUAUCAUUGUCGUUUUUGCUUCUUUUUGAUUAAAUUCGACUUUACGAGCGAGCUUGCAACGCAAAGUGGUAGCCGAGAAGUUCAUCAUCAUCAAGACGCAAAGAGUGCUGCGUGAUUCGACCCGAACGUAAAGAGAAUUUAUACCCUUUACAGCUACCGCUCGUUAGCCGCACGAUUCAAUGACCUUUACGUCUAAAAGUCUCUUAUGUUCACUCCAUGAUUCCUAAGAACAACUAUAUAUAGAACGUUAUUAGUAUAUUUGUUAGCUGAAAAAGUUAUUCAUUAUAGAUUUUUAUUUAUUUAUAUUUAUUUUUAUUGUUAACAUUAUCAUGUUCAUGUGUGCACGCCAAGUUUCUCCAAAUUAGAAUAAAUGUGAAAAUAAAUAAUAAUUAUUUUCUUAAGAUUUACAUGUAAGUGCUUCCCUCGCUUCUCGUUGCGUUUGCUUAUGUUCUUGCUACUUUAUUGCGUUUAUAAGGAGAGCAAAAAUUAUUACAACUUGUCGAAUCGAAAUAUCUUGUUCGCGUCGAACAUUAUGCUAUAUUGUAACGAAUGUGCAACGAAAAGAAAAAUGUGGUCUCAUAUCCUAUUUUCUUUUCUACCUUUUUUUUUCUUUGUCUGACGAACGAGCUGCCAGUAUUGCUCUAUGACGUUCAACACGCCCCUCUUUUGCUGUCGACCUCGAUAGCUUUGCUAGUAGCCGCAGUUCACGGUAAUUAUUCCCCCUAGCACUUUAAAUACAGUAAUCCCUGAGUUUCUUCGCCGCGUUGUUUAUGGUAAUUCCCGUUGCCGCUAUAAAUAUUCCUGCAAAUACAAAAAUUGCAACUCUCGGCCAGGUACCAUGGUGCGGACGAUGGCCACUGCUCACGCUAUAGGAAAUCACUCGCGAAUGUUGAAAGAAAAUGAGAGAAGAAAUACACAGUUACGACAUUCGUUACGAAUUGCACAUGACGCAAAAAUAUCCGCUCGAAAUAUUGAAAUAUUCGCCAGAAACUAAACACAACUAAUGAAAAUUUCGGAUCUUUAAUAUCGGAUUAGUUUGCUGCUCAUAUAAUGUAAUAGAUGUAAUAAUUACAUUUAGACAAAUCUUUUAUACAAUAUCCUUUUGAGAAUUACAUAAAUGAAGUAUCAAUACUUAAAUCGAGAUGACAACCUAGAAAAUAUGCGAUGAGGAAUUUUAUUGUACGUUUUAUAGCAAAUUUAAGCCACUUAAUAGAAUUGCUUAUUGACAUAUGAUUAUACGGUUCGUCUGGAUUUCUUUAUCUCCCUGGAAUCUUUCAAACGUUCUCUUCUUCUACGCUAUAAACUCCUAUGUUAUAAAACUUUUUCUUUUGUAUUUUACCUAGUUUUAUCUCAUGAAAAAAAUUUGUUUGCACUUUUAUCGAUGUGAUGUACUGUAAUAUAUCCUCGUUUGGUAAACUAGGGGUAAUUAAUAAUAAUGGGAAAGGGGGUUGUUAAUCUCGUUUAAUAUAAUAAAUAAAAUGUUUAAUCCUUUUUGUCAAAAAUAUAAAUCGACCAUUGCCAGAAUCCAGACGUCACGAUUUGCAGAUCGCAACGUCAAUCGACUUCUUUCGACGUGAGAACAGGAUAAAUAAAGAAUUCCUUCAUCGUUUUGCCGCCACCCGUCCGCGGUCGUCAUUACCUGCUUUCCCAUUUAGUUGCGGCGGAUUCAAACUCACGAUUCCAUUUCGCUGGGAGACGUCAGUAAAUACGUUCGUGCUCGCACGAUAUUUGCGAUAGACAGUCCCUAACGAACAACUGAGCGCGAGAAGACAAACGAGUUAUCCGGCCGAUUAUUGUCUCCACCCACAGAGCUCGAUUUUCUCAUUCUCUCUCGGGUACUAUCGAUCGGUGAUGUUAAUAUUAGAUGAGUGAGGCACCUGCCGCCCUCGUUCUCUAGCCAUUGUCACAUACCCCUGAAAGUUUAAUUGACUUCUUCGCCCGACCACCUCGCAUUGACCUUUUUGUCUUGGAAGCAGCUGCUGCUGCGCUCUGGUGUUAUCAGAAAAAAAGUGCGACAGUGCCGCUGAUUAUUUUAUACGAGCAGAAAUUAGGGAGACACCGUGCCGCUUAAUACAACUUGUCACUAGUUGUGAACGUGCUUCUUUGUGUUAGUUCAGGCGAGUUUCAUACCGCGUUUAUAGGCAGUCACUUUGACGUUAAGUAUCUUUGACCAUAAUUUAACUGUUCGUUUAUUCUUUUCUUCUUUUAAUCUUAAAAGAAAAGAUAAAUUAUGAUUAAAACUAAGAUAUCGUUUAUGAAACUAGUUAAUUUGUAUUGCAUGUUUGUAAAUGUAGCAGAACAUUGUUAAAAUUAAUAAUUCUAAAGAUAUUAUUUCUUUUCUUUUAUUAUAUUUUCUCUUUUGAUGUAAAAUAGACGAGAUAUACAUAUAAUUUCGAACAAGUUUUUUCAGCUUUUUCCAGUUAUUAAAAUCUUAAUAAAAUACGCUGUAAACCUAAACAAUGUAAAUCGAAACUUGUGUAACAGGCAAAAUUUUACAUUUUAUUAGUUUCUUUAUGAUAAAAUGAGUAUAGAGUAUUUCGUCUCUUGCAGAAACUAAUUAAAGUCUAAUAUAAACAAUUUAAUUAACAGGUACAGCAUAUUGCAUUUCUCAACACCCCCUCCCUUCACACACACACACACACACACAUAUUGAGCGUACACACUUUUCCUUUUCUAUGUACUUGGAAAUUUUUAGCCUCCGUCGUAGAUGCAUUUUACGAAGAAAAUAAGCGACUGCACGUCUACUCCAUUCUUUUAACUAAUUACUUCAUUUUAUACUUUUGCGUGUUUUAUAUUUUUGUACAAAAUUAUAUAUAUAUAUAUAUAUAUAUAUUCAUAUAUAUUCUCAGAUACACAUGUGUUUAUAAUAUUAUUAAUAAUGAUUUAUAAGUAGGUCUUUGCAAGAAAACACAACGCGACGCUUGACAUUCUCGAGUUCGGCGUACAUCAUCAGAGAAAUACGCUCGCACGUACAUCGCAUUUUUCCGUUUAAUUGCCUGGCGCGUACAUACCAUUGGGAACUCGGAAGGAUAGCUGAACGCAUCUCAAGAUACCGUGCGGUAGUAUUCUGGUCUCCGGUCUCUUGGAGCUGGCGAGAAUGUAAUUAUGAAGCGGAGAUCUACGGGAUGCGAUAAGGCCCCGCGAGCGUGAUGGAUGUUUUCAGCGUCUGCUCCGCGUCUGCUCCGCAUUACUGACUUACGAGCUCGCGAGUAUAGACACGUCGUCUCUCUCUUCCUUCUUCAGGCUGUCUCGCUAAGCGCUGCCGAUAUACAUAUGCGCCGACGGGACAACCAUUCUAUGUAAAUCGCGUAGUAAAGGAUCCGACACACCGCGAAAGACGGUGCACGGCGCUUCCUUAAGAACCCUGCCAUCCUCACCGCAACAGGACCAUGUUCGUCAAUGACGUUAAGACGGCUAUUCGUACGACUAUCCUGACAGUCGAGAGUUAAACAUUCUAGACAGGCGUCUUGUGUUCCAAUAUAUCGUACGGAUUUUAUAUAUAUGUUUUAUAUAUACUCGUGUCUGAAUUAGAUUUUAAUUCAUUAUGCAUUGAACAUAAUUAUCAAAUUAUAAUUAGAGUUAUAUAUCCGGAUUUAAUCAUCUUGCUGUAUAAAGCGAUACUUGUAAAAGUUUGUAAUUGAAUCUGUGUGACAUGACUAAUUUUAGAUAAUACCACCUCUUAUCUUCUUUGGAAGCGUUUAAAAAUGACUAUUUUAACUUGAAAUUGGAAAGUUCACGGUUUCAAACUUAAAAGAAAUUUUAUUCUCAACAUUUCUAGUUAAAUGAUAUCGAGUAGAUGAAACAUACAUUAACAGAAAAAUGUAUUUGUAAUUAUAAUUGCAUAGUAAAAUAAUUAUAGUAAGCAAUAUCACUUUUACAGUAAUUAUUACUAUAAUAUUGGUAAUAAUAAUUAUACGUCUAUAGCAAAUGCUGAUAAUAAUUGUUUUAUGGUACAACUUACUACAUAUUAAAAUCUCCAUUUUGGCAGUUUUAUGGCAAUCCAUAUUAUAAGUUGCACAGACCAAUAUUAUGAUUAUGAGAACAUUAAUAUAGUUUAAACAAACAAUAAUUUAUAUUGUUGAAUAAUAUAGGAUUGAAUCCAAAAAUGACUAUAAAUUAUAAUGAUAUUAUGGUUAUCACAACUAUUUUUUCUCCUCAGUGUAUGCUCUUUGGCAAAAUAAAAUUAUCUUUAUGUGUGAUAUUUUUCUCUUCUUGAUUCGUCUUCAAUUUCUUUUAUUAAUACCGAAAACAAAGCUCAAAAUAUCUUGACCAUCGGUUCGAAGGGAACGCGAAGGAACAACUAAUGCAAAGGGAUUAUGGCUUUCAUAUACACGACACAUAUAAGAUUGUGCAUCGUGCGAGCUCUCUUGGUCCCGCCCAGAUCUGCUGGCCAAUAGUCAUUAGCUGGGCCCAUUAAACCCCCAAACGUACACGUACACGUACUCACGCACGCAUGCACUCGUUCGCGCAACCCUGCACGCGUGUGCGUAAUAAUCAUGUGAUACGCGUGCGCGCAUUUAAAAGCUAUUUCGUAGUAGAAGGAUAAAGACGAGCUGAUUCGAUGCACUGUGAGAUGUGAAAGCGAAAAGAGAAAUAGCGGAUAAUCUAAGAGAAAGUGAAGAAAGACGGAAAAAGAAAUAUGCAGGCUCGUGUCUGCUAGACACGAUGCUAGUAUGGCGCAUCGUUCUGCCUACUUCGGUGCCGUGGUUUGCGUACGUUCGCUAGACGGUUCGGCUCGGCCACCAGCCUCAUGGCCUGCGGCAGGUCUGGUAGCGUUUCCCGGUGAGAGACGGUGAAACCAGACGGUGGGGAGCCUGCACGGGAGGUAGAGGCGGGCCCGAGAGGCGGCUUUAACGCCCGCCUUCCAUCGACUUUAUAGCGGCUGAUAGCGGACGGCGUAAUCAAACGGCACUUGCCGUCAUGUCGUGCGUUAUCGUGACGCACAAGCGCGCAGAGAUCACGGAAGAGACCGGGAAAUCAGCGUGCAAUUCCGACAGCUAAGCAAAGGAAUUAUUUAGCCAAGUUUUCUCCGGGCAGAUCUGAUCUCAAUCAGAGGCAAAAAUACCUGCAAUUUUCCCUAAGCUUAAGACAGCCUUCUGUAUUCUUACAAUUAAUGAUAAACAGACUUUAUAUUAAACUUUACUCAAAAUUAUAUUACUUGUACAAGAAAGUAAUAAUCGUAUCGAAUGGUUUGCAGGAUAAAAAAAUAAAAUACAUCUAAGACGGACGAUGACGCUUAAUAGUUGUUUCAAAUAUGUUACGUAAUAAACAUUUGUAUUUAAGUGGAAUAUUUUAUAAAAUACUUUUAAUUAGUAGGCAAUUUCCAGAAGUCGAGUACUUGCUUUGUAUUGUAAAUGACAAAAAAAAAACUGCAUUUUUGGAAGGAUAUAAAAUGUUGUAGAUAUUUUUAAAUGCUGAUAAUUUUCCUAUUAGUCUUUCUUAUAUUCUCAAGCUAAUAUAAAUGUUAUGUGUUUCUGUUAUUAUUUGCAUAUUUUCUCCUAUAACAUUAAAUUUUAAUAUUUUUUAUGCACAUAAAGUUUUUCAUAAAAAUUGCUACAUUAUUUUAUCAUUGUUUUUAAUAGUAUGAUGAGAGAUGUAUUUACUGUCACUUACAGAGUGCAAUUAUUAUAUUUCUUUAGGUUUUAUACAACAUCUUCCUAAACUUUUACUUGCGACGACACACACUAUUUGUUUGCAACUAAAUCAAUAAAAUUAAUAUGUAAAGUUGUUUCUUCCACAACACCUUCCACUACUUUGAAGAAAUUUGCACACUUAUUUGCACACUCCCGUGCACGUGAAAAUAUGUUGGUCCUUCCGUUUUCCAAGAUUUUAGCAAGAAGAAUGCUCUCUUCAACGUACGUCCGCGUCGAGGAACGUCACUUCCUGGCAUCGUGCGGAGAACUGCGGCGGCGAGCCGAAGCCACGGUAGAAGAGGCAGCAACGGGCAACGACGAGCGGAUAUUUCAGCUGGCGGCUCCUGCUGAGAUGCGGCGAUUAUGUUUGUCCAUUAAUAUGCGCCGAGACAAGGCAACGUGGUCCUUUAUCCGUUCUUUUGCGAUGGUGUAGCGAGUAGGUCUCUGAAUCUUCGGAUCUAGGGCCGAUCUGGUACGUCCUAUCAUCAUUUAUCACGAUGCUUCACGCACAUUUCUCGUCUUGCUCACGACCGUACACACGCCGUUGCUUCAUCGAUAUGAAACAAGUUCCAAGUGUAGUUUCAGUUUAUCGACAAAUUUUAUUAUACAGUAUAUAUGUACAACAUGUGAAUCGUAAGAGUUUCUCAAUCAUUAUACUAUUAUGUUGUUAUUUUCUUCCAAACAAUUUGCAGCAAUAAGAAUUUAUUUUUAAUUCUUUAAAAACAAACUUUUCUGAAGACUUAAUAAAGUCUUACUAAAAGUAGUCUUCGGCCAAAUAUAAAAUGGUUGCAAAUUAAAACAUUCAUGUGAUAUAUGAAAAUGUCCAACGGCAAUGAGUACCGUAAGUUUCGUAAUCAUUCUGUGUCAAGUUGUAGAGAUGACUUUGGGUUUAACGAGAUCGAUGCUUCCGAAAAUUCCACGAGGCAGUUUACAAGAUACCGCGAUAGAAGGCUGUCAAUUAUUUUGAACAGAGGAGGAAGAGGAUUAUCAGUAAUAAUAAUUUUGUUUUCGGGAACGGCUACGUUGGGCGGCAAGUGAUUUAGUAACUCGGUUCUCUUAACUUGUUUCCUUUUUUCUCUCGACUGGCCUAGCCCGGGUCUCACAAAGACCGCGUCAAUAUAUGUUAAUCCACAGAAUAUAAUCCCCUGGAUACGAGUCCGAGAACGAUGAAGCGAGGUUAUUAAAGCUCUUGAGAAACUCGUCCUCUCGUCUGCCGGUAUCGCGUCCCGCGCCGCUAGUCCCGAAGAGAAGUUAUGUUUGCCGCGUCGUCGUAAAUAUGAAAUAUCGAAGUCCGGAUUCACGGAUCGUCGAUUUCAUCGGUACCACGGCGAAGAUGAUCAGUUUCGGUGUCUCCAUCCCUCUCUUUGAAUUCUCUGCCUGUGGCAUUUUGCCUUCUUCAGCAUUCAAUUCCGGCUGCCAAUUAAAAAAUUCUUCUUUCGACAAUUUCAUGAAAGAAGAUUGUGGGCUAGGAAUUGAGACCAACUGGUCAAAAGGCUUCGCUCUCAUCUCUCUGGAAGGAGACACCUGGCAAUAUCCCACACCAAUGAAUUCUUUCAUCGCUGCCGUUAUCCGCACGAUAAGUUUCUCAAAAUUAAAAAUUCUUCGUCCUCUAGUAGUCUCAUCGGAAUUGUCGUGAUGUAUGAUUGUCGAGAAAAUUGCAAAAGCUGGUUUAUUUCCGAGCAUCUAUAGAUGGAGCGAGCGAAUAUUGCAGAUAAGGUACCUAGUGGCGGAAAGUGUGUCAGGAUACACCGCGCGGUUCCUUGCUUGUUACGGUUGAUUGGCAUUUGCAUAGUUAAUGUAUAAUGUGAGUGAAUUCACAUCGCCGAUGACUAUGCAGAUUUAGACACGCGGCAUGUAGUAUCGCAAUUGCGAAUUGGAUCAACGAUCCAGCCAGUAUAGCGUGGAGGUAAGACGUGACAGAAGAGGCGUCCGGAGACUCAUACUCGAUAAGGUUUCUCAAGGGAAAACCCAAGCGGAAGCGUUCGAAUUAAAGGUCGAGCAAGAUUUAUCUCAAAAUUGUUAAUCCUUGCUCGUUAACUUGAUCUUGCGAGCACAAGAAGACAAGUAUUUGAAAUCGGCAAAAUCAGCAAAAUCGGCGCGUAUGAUUAUAAGUCACGGUAGAUCUGGAUUAACGACAAAACUGCAAAUAGUCACACGCGGAUUAUUAUUAUUUUGUUAUUUUCUUCGCUUUUAACGUAGUCUGCGUGGACCGAUACGCAGCACUGUAUAUUACUCGCGGUAAAUUUGGAUCAGAGUCCCAACAACAUCUAUAUAUAACGCUCAGGAAUCGCGAUUCCUUAAUAUACAUGCAACAUUGUUGCCUUCUCAUUCGAGGGAUUUCUCAAUGGAAUACCGAAUCCGAAUGAGGAGGCAUAAUAACUAUUUCUUUUUACCUCUCAUCCUUUGCACGCCGGAGCAGCGAAUGGCGAUGCGGAUCGAGGGAGCGAGAAAUGAAGAAAGUGAAAAAUGGAAAAGAGGAGUUCAGAAAGGAGAAGAAGAGCAAAGAAGGCACGGUGUAGUAUAACUAAUACACAUACUCACAAAACAUACACGCUAGAUUUUUCAAAAAAGAAAUUAUAAAAGCGUGAAACUGAAAACGAGAAAGAAGAUAAUAAAGAGGAAUCUUUAUGAGACGCAACGCUUCCGAAACUCAAGUUCCAAA